ACGCCUUUUUCGGCCUUUUUGGCUGAGAUCAAGUUAGUAUCAGUUUUUAUCUGUCUGAUAUCCGAUACGUAGUCCAUUGGACCACAUGAUAUUAAAUUAAUUUUUCAGUUGGGGAGGGACCACGUCACCCACUUGCUAGUGGGUCCCUCGAGCAUGCCGAUGCAUUGCACUACUGCUUUGGGACGGGCACGCCCA
rnacentral:snRNA from 1 species